rnacentral:rRNA from 1 species
UCAUAUGCUUGUCUCAAAGAUUAAGCCAUGCAUGUCUAAGUACUUACCGAAAAGAAGGUGAAACCGCGAAUGGCUCAUUAAAUCAGUUAUGGUUCAUUAGAUCGUAAACAAACCCGUUUGUUAUUUGGAUAACUGUGGUAAUUCUAGAGCUAAUACAUGCCGAAAAGCUUCGACCUUAACCGGGAAAAGCGCUUUUAUUAGACCAAGACCAAUACGGAUGUCUCGCCCGGUCAGUUCGCCUCCUUGCGAAUGGGUUAUUUUCAUUUCCCAAGAGCUUGGACCAAAGGCGUCUCCGAAUGCGCAGCUCCGGCUCAAAUAUUGGUGACUCUGGAUAACCUCACAGCCGAUCGCACGGUCAUUUCAGAACCGGCGACGAAUCUUUCAAAUGUCUGCCUUAUCAACUGUCGAUGGUAGGUCACGCGCCUACCAUGGUUGUAACGGGUGACGGGGAAUCAGGGUUCGAUUCCGGAGAGGGAGCCUGAGAAACGGCUACCACAUCCAAGGAAGGCAGCAGGCACGCAAAUUACCCACUCCCGGCACGGGGAGGUAGUGACGAAAAAUAACAAUACGGGACUCUUCCGAGGCCCCGUAAUUGGAAUGAGUACACUUUAAAUCCUAUAACGAGGAUCAAUUGGAGGGCAAGUCUGGUGCCAGCAGCCGCGGUAAUUCCAGCUCCAAUAGCGUAUAUUAAAGUUGUUGCGGUUAAAAAGCUCGUAGUUGGAUCUCGGUCCCCGACCGGCGGUCCGUCGCUCGUUCGGCGGUCUCUUUUAAAACUGCCGGCUCGGGGGCCAGCCUCACGUCCGGUCUUACCCUCGAUGCUCUUCACCGGGUGUCCCGGGUGACCGGAACCUUUACUUUGAACAAAUUAGAGUGCUCAAAGCAGGCGUCAAAAAACUUUUUGUCGCCCGUAUAAUACAGCAUGGAAUAAUGGAAUAGGACCUCGGUUCUGUUUUGUUGGUUUUCUUUUUAUUUUGGAACCCGAGGUAAUGAUUAACAGGGACAGACGGGGGCAUUCGUAUUGCGGCGCUAGAGGUGAAAUUCUUGGACCGUCGCAAGACGAACUACUGCGAAAGCAUUUGCCAAGAAUGUUUUCAUUAAUCAAGAACGAAAGUUAGAGGUUCGAAGGCGAUCAGAUACCGCCCUAGUUCUAACCAUAAACGAUGUCGACCAGCGAUCCGCCGGAGUUCCUCCGAUGACUCGGCGGGCAGCUUUCCGGGAAACCAAAAGUUUUUGGGUUCCGGGGGAAGUAUGGUUGCAAAGCUGAAACUUAAAGGAAUUGACGGAAGGGCACCACCAGGAGUGGAGCCUGCGGCUUAAUUUGACUCAACACGGGAAAACUCACCCGGCCCGGACACCGGAAGGAUUGACAGAUUGAGAGCUCUUUCUUGAUUCGGUGGGUGGUGGUGCAUGGCCGUUCUUAGUUGGUGGAGUGAUUUGUCUGCUUAAUUGCGAUAACGAACGAGACUCUAGCCUGUUAAAUAGACGGACCGAUCUCUUGGGGGGUGCCGAGGUUUUACUUUGAAAGGGGGGCCUCGCCUGCUCCCAUCCCCAUUUGUCAUUUCGCAUUUGGAUUCUUUUUCUUCUCCCUGGCACAUCCAUUUAUUUUUGCGUGCGACUCACCUUUUAUUUUUAAGGACUGGGAAGCCACGUUUAUUUUUGGUUUGGGUCGGGGGAGGGAAUUUUUUCUUUUUGCAUUUUGAUUUUUUGGUGUUGGGUCUAAAAGUGGGAUGCUGGUCUAGACUUUUUCGUGUAAGCCUUAAGGCGAAACCUCUUGUCGGCCGAAAAGCUUCUUAAAGGGACAAGCGGCGUUCAGUCGCACGAAAUUGAGCAAUAACAGGUCUGUGAUGCCCUUAGAUGUCCGGGGCCGCACGCGCGCUACAAUGAAGGGAUCAGCGUGCGUUGAAUCCCGGCCCGAAAGGGUCGGGCAACCCGUUGAAACCCCUUCGUGAUAGGGAUCGGGGCUUGCAAUUGUUGCCCGCGAACGAGGAAUUCCCAGUAAGCGCGAGUCAUAAGCUCGUGUUGAUUACGUCCCUGCCCUUUGUACACACCGCCCGUCGCUACUACCGAUUGAAUGAUUUAGUGAGGUCUUCGGAUCGGUUGGCCCCUUGUKCYCCCCUCCCUCUUUCUCGUAGAUUGGGCUGGGGGGGGGUUUGGCCUUUGCCGAGAAGAUGACCGAACUUGACCAUUUAGAGGAAGUAAAAGU